rnacentral:rRNA from 1 species
UACAGAGGGGGCAAGCGUUGUUCGGAAUCAUUGGGCGUAAAGGGCGCGUAGGCGGCUCAACAAGUCAGGUGUGAAAGCCCAGGGCUCAACCUUGGAAGUGCAUCUGAAACUGUUGAACUAGAGUCUCGGAGAGGGUGGUAGAAUUCCCAGUGUAGAGGUGAAAUUCGUAGAUAUUGGGAGGAAUACCGGUGGCGAAGGCGACCGCCUGGACGAAGACUGACGCUGAGGCGCGAGAGCGUGGGGGAGCGAACAGG